rnacentral:tRNA from 1 species
UUUACUUUAGUAUAAUAUAUUAUAUUAGCUUUUCGUGCUGGAGAUAGUUUGACUAAGUAAAU